UACGUAGGCAGCAAGCGUUGUUCGGAAUUACUGGGCGUAAAGAGUGUGUAGGCGGUCGGGUAAGUCUGAUGUGAAAUCUCACAGCUUAACUGUGAAACUGCAUUGGAUACUAUCCGGCUCGAGGAAUGGAGGGGAGACUGGAAUACUUGGUGUAGCAGUGAAAUGCGUAGAUAUCAAGUGGAACACCAGUGGCGAAGGCGAGUCUCUGGACAUUUCCUGACGCUGAGGCACGAAAGCCAGGGAGCAAACGGG
rnacentral:rRNA from 1 species